UACGGAGGGAGCUAGCGUUGUUCGGAAUUACUGGGCGUAAAGCGCACGUAGGCGGCUUUGUAAGUUAGAGGUGAAAGCCCGGGGCUCAACUCCGGAACUGCCUUUAAGACUGCAUCGCUUGAAUUGUGGAGAGGUAAGUGGAAUUCCGAGUGUAGAGGUGAAAUUCGUAGAUAUUCGGAAGAACACCAGUGGCGAAGGCGACUUACUGGACACAUAUUGACGCUGAGGUGCGAAAGCGUGGGGAGCAAACAGG
rnacentral:rRNA from 1 species